rnacentral:misc_RNA from 1 species
UGUCGGCCCAUGUACAACGCGUAUUGAAACGCAGCGCCCAGACUUCAACUAAUCUGCCCUCAAUAAAGCUGAAAUAAUUAUCCUAAGCUGCCUUUCCAGAAGAAAAAUCAUUGAGGAAUUCAAAACUUUUUUUAAAAAGAUCUUUUCUACAUUCCGAUGCAGAUCUGGGGGCGCGGCGCCGGGUACACACCACUCAGGAGAGCUCAAUGAGGGAGAAGUGGAAAAAAAGAAGUUGUGGGAGAAUUUAAACGUGAACCCAACUGGAGGCUGGAGCCAAAAUGGUCGCAGGCCCUAAAUCUCAAGCUCGGAUCUUUCUUAGGCCUUGAUCCGACAGUGCCAGGUUUUAAAGGGCCGAGGAGUGCAAACUCGGUUUGAGGGUGACACCGAAUGUUUGGGUUAGGCUAGGGGACUAUACUGGCUCUUUAGCAGGGGGCAGCUCAGGGGCCUAAACUCGCUGACCAGGGCAGAAUAAUGUUCACCCUAAAAGGUAGAUCCGUCGAGCCCCACUUUUGGCGGUCUCUCUCUCUCUCCAAACAUCUUCAUCUGCACCAGGAGUGCUUUUCCGCUCAACUGCAAGGCUCUGGGCGGUCGCUCUUUGCGGGCCCAGAAAGAGCCCAAAGGUUGGGACACAAAAACAGACACUUCAUCUUUUCUUCCGGACCCCUUUCUCUUGUAGGGGGAAGGAUUAUAGACUGAAAGGUGGGAGGGAGAAGGGGCAGGAGGAGGAAGCAGGGGGAGGAAGGAAUGAAAAGGGGGAGGGGAGUGGGUAUUGUGCCGCGUGUGGAGGGGGAGAAUUCCUACGGGUGGGUUUCCGAAUAUUGUGUUCAACUUUUUGAAAGCAGCUCGUGACCCCGAAACUGCAUCCCCCGGAGCCGGGGACCCAGGCGCCAGGCGGGCGGGUGAACCCGGCCAGUCCCUCCCAAUCCCCGCAACCCCCCGCCUCCGAGUGGGGGGGAUCCAGGCCUGGAGGGAGGCUGGGCAGGUGCCGAGGGCUGUGCCGACAGCGCUGAAAUCGAAAACCCUCGCCACUCAUGAAGAACUGAGGCAAAAGGAUCACAGAUGCUGCUCGGGGCCAGCCCUAUACUCCCUCCAGUGCCUGGUCUCCGGUGGACCCGCGGGGCUCUGCAGUUCUCUGGCGGCCGCGCCUUGUAAGCGCUAAGCCGGGAGGAGGGCGCAGGCAGGGCGCACAGCUCUGAGCGCGACCCUACCCGGCUCGGGCCCGCAGCAACCCCGACUGUCCGAGAGCCUCUCCCCAAGCAAGGCUCUGCGCCGCCCUCUGAGCCCACCUCCUGGCCACAACGCUGCCUGCGCUUCUCCAGCCCAGGCCGGAAGCCCUAUGCUGCCUCCCGAAGCCGGACUUUCUGGAAGCCCAUCUUCGUAUGCUCACCAGCCCACCCUCCUACGCUGGUCAGAGUGAGAUUGCUAACCUCAAGACCCCAUUCAAUGCCAGCUUUCAACUACUGCUGAAGACCAAUGUAGGUCCUGGAAUAGAAGAACUGCAGAGUGUAAGUCUAUUUGACCGGCCCCUCCUCCCUUCCCUCCUUCCAUUCGGCUCCACUCCCGAGCCCAGCCCCCUUUCCAUUCAAUGACCCCCUAAACUAAACCCAAGCAUAAACUCCAGGAUCAUCUCUGAGCCGGACCACAGUAGUGCCCAGGUCACGAUCCGUUCUAAGGGCAAAAGCAGCGGCAGAAAAGUCAGGGGCGGGUGCUCU